UUCCCAUGCGCUUGAGCACGCGGCUUUUUUUUUAUUAUUUGUGAUUUCGCGCUUAAUAAAAUAAUAAUAAUACGAAUUAGCAAUGGGUGAUUAGUGUUUAAAUGUGUUUUUUAUUGUUUUCAAAGCAUACAUAGGUUUUUGGUCGCGUCGCUUAAAUCUCGUGUGUGUGUGUGUGUAAGUGAAAUGCGCAGCAGCCCAGCAAAGGGUUUUUUGUUGUUUAUUUUGAUUAAAACAAUAAAAAGCGGUUAAAUAUGAAUAUUUAGUGGUUUUGUUGAAAUAAAGUGUGCUUUAUUUAAUGUAAAAUGAUCAACACACGUGAAAUUGUGAUGGCGCAAGGGGCCUGUAUGUAAUAACUGUGUAUAUAUGUACAUAUGUACAUAUAUACAUAUGUACGCCCUUUACGUAUUAAGUGUGUAUUUGCGUAUAAAAUCAAUCUUCCAACCACUUGAAGGUUGAUUUUCAUCAUCUUUUGGCACAGAUGGUUAAUAUUACAUUUGUCACAAUAUAUGGAGAGCCAACCAUAGAAACUCAUUCAUAGUCUGUGCAUCAUCGACGACGACGACUGCCCCGGCAUCAGGGGGCAUCAAAGUGGAAUUGGAUUCAUCUGGAAGAGGCGGGUCAUAAUUGAAGAUAUGAUGCUCCAUGCCCCAUGCCCCAUACCCCAGCCAUGAGCAAAGGUGACACCAAAGGGAAGACCUUCGACUGGCAAUAAAAUAAAUGCCAUUUACUGAUGAGUCAUCAGCAUAAUUUUUACGAUUUGUCCCAUUCGAUGAAUAAACAAAUAAACCAAUGGACACGGGAGCUGGGACCCGGGACUCAGGACCCUCUGGAUUGGACUCUAGUUUGAGCGUGUCACGAAAACAUUUCGCAUGCAUUGACUUUUUAUGGCAGCCCCAAACCGAGUGAACCGAACGCACGAAUCGAAAAGCCACAUGGACCGACGAGAGAGAGAGGCGGAGAGGGGCACACAGAGAGGGGUAUCCACAAAUAAUGCAAAAUCAUUUAGUGGAACUCCUAGGCACACACACCGUACAGAUGCUCGCACCCCCCUCCCGCCUCAAAGUCAUAAAAUCCGGCACCGAAUGAAAUUCUCAUCAAGACGCAAGUUGGCACAAUUUCAGUUUGGCGCUGAAGCAACUUGAAAACACGACCAAAAUGAGCCCGAAUCGCAGUAGGAGUCGUUGCCACAGCCCACAGGACUCUCGGCAGUGGUCAGGCAUGGGGCCAGCAUCGUGCUGCUGCCGCUGCCGCUGCUACUCCUGCUCCUGGCAAUCGCGCGUGACUAACGUAAUCAGCUCACGUAACGCCUGAAUGAGAUGAGAUGAAAUCAGCAUACACUCCGGGCCACGCAGGACUAUGCUCUCCUACGCUGCCGUCGCUCCGCACCGAUUCCGACUGCAUAAAUGUCGAAUUUAUACGAAAAUGAAGCGGCGCAGGCCAUUCGACCAGCUGCUGGGGCAUCAUUCACACGGCCACCAGAUGCUUUGAGGGGUAAGUACCACCCCCCUAACGAAAUGUUUUGUAGAUCUUUGACACGCGAUACUGCCCUGGCCGGGCCGUCUUUGGUGGGUGUUCGGAUGCAAAACGAUCGCUGGAGCUGGGGAUCUUGGGAGCUUAAAGGAGGGACAAUGGAGAGAUCUAUAAAUGGGAUUCUUGGACAUUAACGAAAGAGGAGAUUUGAAUCAAGUACUUAUAUGAUUACUGCCUUCGAACAAGCGAGCAGAGCGGAUUCCAUUUAAAUGCAAAGACCUAUCAUUAGACUCUUACAUCUACAAUUCCCCAACGCCCGCGCGCGAGAGAGAGAGAGAUCAACAAUUGUGGUGGCUUCAGCGGCGAUUUAAGCGCUGGGCACACGCAAUCCCCCUGCCCCGUCUAUGGAGAGCCUGCCCUAUAAAGUAGAUUUGCAUGCGACGCCCCAGAGACCCCUCUUGGCUGUGGGGCGGGGGGCUGGCAUCCCCAAUUGAAUGGGGGACUGGCGCGAAUCCGUUGAUGUGAUGACAGGAGUGGCUGCAAAUGGGGAAAAACGCACAGAACACAAGAUAUCUCUGGCAUGUCGUCCUAGCAGGCUGUUUACUGAAGCCUCCGCUGAAGUACUGCUGAAUAGGGGCUGUAGAAGCGACUCAGGAAGGCCGUCGAAUCUAAGACCUGGAAAUUAUGAUUGUUACCCAGCCAGCAGCUCAGGGCAAAGCUGUUGUCCGGAUGUUUAAUGCGUGGCAUUUCGAUUCCUACCCACGUCCACCACGCGGCACAGGUUCCUAUUGAGGUUGUGGAGAUUCUUCUGUCCAUCCACCAUCCACCGAUAGCUGGUGUAGGCAAAGGGAUCGUGGCUUCCAGCAGAAGAAAGGCAGUGAUGUCCUGCUCCAAGCUCUGCAAGCUAAUAGGUCCAUGCACUUCAGAAUAGCGUUGAUCGCCAGGACCACGGUAUACGGUGGCUGAAUGUAGAACGGCCUCACGGACAUAGGUUCCUCCAGCAUUUUCCGAGAAUACUGCAGGACUAACGGCUCCGAAAAUGGCAAUUUCCAUUCGAGAGAGAUCGUAGCGGGGGUCCAAGAAGGAACAGAGUAUCUGUUUUUGGAUGAUUAUCGAGUCUUUAAGUCUUAAUCCCAAGGAUUACUGUACACUCGGAGAGCCAAGAAUCCUAACAACUGCAUUACAUUGAAUGCCCCGCCCGAAGGCGACUAAAUUUAGUUGGGAAAUUUAUGGCAAUUGCUCAAGCAAAGCAUUAAUCCCAUUUAAAUGUCCUCCGACUUGUGGAAUCAACAGGCGGUUGCAACACAAUCACAACCUAAUGCAUCCGCCGAGGCAGAGAGUGAGAGAGAGCGAGAGAGAGAAAGGAAGGAAGGAUGUACCAGAGCUGCAGUCGGUCGUCCCCCUCCUGUUUUCUGGGGGGUUCCUAAUGUAUGAUUAUGUCCGAAACACAAAGCAUACGCCAAGGACAACGAGGAGGAGGUGGCAGAGUGUGGAGUGCGGAGUGUGGCUGGCGAUUGGUCAACGAGGCGAGGCGAGGCGAGGCGAGGCGUUGUGUUGCAUCCUCCAUGUAAGCAAAGUACCGUCCGCCCGGUUCAGCCCCAUUUAUUUGCAUCCGAAAUUUGCACAUGUUCAAAUCGAGAUUUACGACGGCGAGUGACAUCAUUAAUCAAGCGCCUGAUUGGUGAUCCUGUUCCUGUUAAUUAAUACAAUAAUGGAUUGCGUGGCUUCUACCAGGGGACGACUCUCUUCGGAGUCCUUCGAAAGACGACAAAAGGCUGCUGCUUCGCAGGAUUUACGGCAAACGGAGAAGGCAAGUGCGCACCGCAAGUGCGUGUAGCCGGCCAAAAAGGAUAAAAGCUAGAACUUACAGGACAGCAAAGGAAAAAAGACUAACGCAUCUCCUUCCACCGCCUGAAACAUUGAUUUAAAAUUUACAACGGUCAUGGCAAAGGUUGCUGCAACAUGGCCAUAUGUUGCAUUGAUUUAUCAUUGGGAUAGGCGAUGUGGCAGCCAAAAUGGAAAUCUGUUGCAGCUGCUACCGGUACACUGUCUCCUAGAUAAAUUCUCAGCCAAAACAAAACAUCAGAGCAGGUGAUGGGAUGGGAUGGGAUG
rnacentral:sRNA from 1 species